UACGUAGGGGGCGAGCGUUGUCCGGAAUUAUUGGGCGUAAAGAGCGUGUAGGCUGUUCGGUAAGUCUGCCGUGAAAACCUGAGGCUCAACCUCGGGCGUGCGGUGGAUACUGCCGGGCUAGAGGACGGUAGAGGCGAGUGGAAUUCCCGGUGUAGCGGUGAAAUGCGCAGAUAUCGGGAGGAACACCAGUGGCGAAGGCGACUACCUGGCCUGUUCUUGACGCUGAGGCGCGAAAGCUAGGGGAGCAAACGGGG
rnacentral:rRNA from 1 species